GACGAACGCUGGCGGCGUGCUUGACACAUGCAAGUCGAGCGGUAAGGCCCUUUCGGGGGUACACGAGCGGCGAACGGGUGAGUAACACGUGGGUGACCUGCCUUUAGCUCUGGGAUAAGCCUGGGAAACCGGGUCUAAUACCGGAUAUGACUCCGCGGCGCAUGUUGUGGGGUGGAAAGCCUUGUGCGGCUGGAGAUGGGCCCGCGGCCUAUCAGCUUGUUGGUGGGGUGAUGGCCUACCAAGGCGACGACGGGUAGCCGGCCUGAGAGGGCGACCGGCCACACUGGGACUGAGACACGGCCCAGACUCCUACGGGAGGCAGCAGUGGGGAAUCUUGGACAAUGGAAGGAAACUCUGAUCCAGCCAUGCCGCGUGAGUGAUGAAGGCC
rnacentral:rRNA from 1 species